rnacentral:rRNA from 2 species
GGAAAGAUGAAAAGAACUUUGAAAAGAGAGUUAAAUAGUACGUGAAAUUGUUGAAAAGGAAACGAUUGAAGUCAGUCAUACCAAUGGGAAAUCAACCUUUUGAGCUUUGUCUCGUGGGUUCGAAGAGUUUAAACGCCUUCGGGUUCGCGAGAUUGGGAUCUUCUGGUGUACUUUCUCGUACGGUUAGUCAACAUCGGUUUUGAAUGUCAUAAAAUGACUGGAGGAAUGUAGCUUCGAUCUCGUAUCGAAGUGUUAUAGCCUUUGGUAGAUGUGAUGUUUGAGACCGAGGAUUGCAACGGAUACCCUUUAAGGGCUAUUCGUCUGAUCUCUGAUACGUUACCUUGAUGUUGAAAGCUUGCUUAUGAUGUUAGGGUAUUACGGUCAAAAGGCUAGAACGGAUUAAAUUCGUUAAGGAUGUUGACGUAAUGACUUUAAACGACCCGUCUUGAAACACGGACCA